rnacentral:tmRNA from 1 species
GGGGUUGACUGGAUUUGACAGCAAGCUGAGAUGGUACGUAAGCACGCGGAGUGACGGCUGUAAACUCCUUAAUACAUUCGGUCAAAAAAUUAAUUGGCAACAAUGAGUAUGCUCUCGCUGCCUAAUCGAAGUAUAGUAGAUUAAGGCUCAAUCCCGUCACCAGGUGACAGGACGAGACGUCGCUCCAAGGGUGUUGUUCCGAAUCCGAGGAUCAAGCGGCGCAGGUAAAUCGGGAAUAGUCAUGUUGUGCCCCGCCGGCAUGAUGAGAUUCAGGGGAUAAGGUCGCAGUUGGUGGUCCAGGUCUUGCUGCGGCACGAAAACCAAAGUCUGGAAUAAGCGUGUAGAAAGCGUAUGGUUUCCUUGUUUGGACGCGGGUUCGAUUCCCGCCAGCUCCAC